GUGCAGGGACCCAGGGAGGCGCUCGAGGACCGACCGGUCACCGCUCCAAUUACCUCAUCGCGCAGCUCCCCGCCCCCUUCCCAAACCUGGAAGGAACCUUGCCCUCCACCCCGCUCCUCCCCUCCCCCACGGCCCGUCCCGAGCCACUCUUGGGGAAAGGUGCCCGCCUCCCCGGGCCGCGCGCCGCGAAGGGUUAAGGGCGCGGGCCAGCCGCCGCGCGGUGCGCUCAGGGCUCGGUGCUGCUCGCCGGGCCGCCCGCCAGAGGGUGCCCCCCACCCCCAUGAAGUCGGAUCCUUGAGCUGCGGCGGCGGCAGCCAACUGCUCCAUAUUUGGCUUCUAUUACACAUUUACAUACUGGAGCGAGCGAGCGAGCGAGCGAGCGCGAGAGAGCGCGAGGGAGGGAGGGCGGAGGGAGGAGGGAGGGGAGGGAAGCGGGAGGAGGGGGAGGAGGAGGAGGAGGAGGAGGAGGAGGAGGAGAGAGCAGAGUAUACCGCAGACAUCAUUUCUACUACAGUGGCGGAGCCGUACAGGACCUGUUUCACUGCAGGGGGAUCCAAAACAAGCCCCGGGGAGCAGCAGCCAGAGCAAGAGCAGCCGCCAGACAUUGUUUCUCUCCCUCUGCCCCCCUUCCCCACGCAACCCCAGAUCCAUUUACACUUUACAGUCUUUACCUCACAAAAGCUACUACAAGCACCAACCUCCCUGAUGGAAAGGAGCAUCGCGCAUCAAGUCACCAGGGUGAUCCAUUCAAGCUGCAGAUUUGUUUGUCAUCCUUGUACAACAGUCUCCUCCUCCACUGCCACCGCAGGGAAGUUCAGCACGUGUCAGGUCACAGAACAGAAAGUGCUGGUGGACAUCUCUUCUUGCCCCAAGAUCUUCGUUGGAAGUCCCCAGGACUUGGUGUCUUUGCCGUUCAAAGUGUUUAUGAACUCGCCAGGAGGCUUAAUGUGUCACCAUUUUAUUGUGGGCCACCCUAAAGGAUGA
ensembl:lncRNA